rnacentral:tRNA from 1 species
UGGGGAGUGGUGUAACGGAAGCCCGCCGGCCUUUGGAGCCGUGAGGUCCCGGUUCAAAUCCGGGCUCCCCAG